AUACGGAGGAUCCGAGCGUUAUCCGGAUUUAUUGGGUUUAAAGGGAGCGUAGGUGGACAUGUAGGUCAGUUGUGAAAGUUUGCGGCUCAACCGUAAAAUUGCAGUUGAUACCGUGUGUCUUGAGUACAGUAGAGGUGGGCGGAAUUCGUGGUGUAGCGGUGAAAUGCUUAGAUAUCACGAAGAACUCCGAUUGCGAAGGCAGCUCACUGGACUGUUACUGACACUGAGGCUCGAAAGUGUGGGUAUCAAACAGGAUUAGAUACCCUGGUAGUCCACACAGUAAACGAUGAAUACUCGCUGUUUGCGAUAUACAGCAAGCGGCCAAGCGAAAGCAUUAAGUAUUCCACCUGGGGAGUACGCCGGCAACGGUGAAACUCAAAUGAAUUGGCGGGG
rnacentral:rRNA from 1 species